rnacentral:rRNA from 1 species
UACGGGGGGGGCAAGCGUUGUUCGGAAUUACUGGGCGUAAAGGGCGCGUAGGCGGACAGUUAAGUUGGGGGUGAAAGCCCGGGGCUCAACCUCGGAAUUGCCUUCAAUACUGGCUGUCUUGAGUGUGAGAGAGGUGUGUGGAACUCCGAGUGUAGAGGUGAAAUUCGUAGAUAUUCGGAAGAACACCAGUGGCGAAGGCGACACACUGGCUCACUACUGACGCUGAGGCGCGAAAGCGUGGGGAGCAAACAGG